AAAUAGUCCUUCCUCUCUGAAUGAGAGGAAUUGGUCCUGGCAGACUACAUGUACAGUGUUCUCAAGUGCUGGCAGUCCAAGAAGCCCUUCUGUGAUUUCUUGGGAAUUGUUUCAAAGCAGUUAAAAUAGGAAAACAUCGAGCACAGUUUUACAGAGCUGCAUCAGAAUAAUUCCAGCAGCCAAGACUGCAAAUGAUUGUAAGGAAAUCUGGAUUGAGACUAAUACUCCAGCUUCAAUAGGUGCAGUGCCUGUGCAGAACUCCAUCCUUGCAAACUCUUACAAUUCUUCUAAGUCAAAAUCCCAAAUCAAGGUAAAGAUAAUAGACUUUAAAAACAAUUUUCCCACCCCUUCUGUCCUAAAGCUGGCCAUUAACAGUCUUUAAAACAACACCUGCAGCCCAUUCCUCAGACAGUUCUAAUAUACCGAGGCAAUUGCUCAUGGAAGGAAUGUAAGACCUAGUCAGCAUCUUAUGGGUUUAUAUCCCAUUUGGAUUUAAAAGGGCUCAUUCAGCAAGAGCAACUUCAGCAUCUGGAAAGCUGCUGCAUGUUUUUGCUGUAAAACUGGUAUGGGAUACAUAGGGUUACUUUCUACUACUGUAUUCUAAAGAAAUAUGAAGCAUUGGCAGGAUAUGCUUGUAACAUUGUGGGGGUUUAAACAACCUAAAUACUUCUAAUUGAUUUGCUAUUGAAAUAGUCCCAGGUGGCAGAAUAUGAAGCGGUAUCAUCUUACAGCUCCACGUGGAAGGUGCUGUCCCUUCUACAUUAUGGAAGAGAAUGAGGAACUGAAGAUGUUGAGGAUGGGCUGAAAGAAGUGGUGGGCCGGUUUUGUUUCUGUGUCACACAAGACUGAAGGGGCUGCUGGAAGGGAAAUGCUGCAUUGCAGUAGAUGUAUUUUGCUCCAGCAUAUGCCAGUUGAUCAUUGUCAGUGUGCGUCAAGAUACUGUCUGGAAACAAGGAGAAUUUGGAAGAGAGACACCCAUGUAGUGUGCAAAGUAUGCGUCACAGAGCCCAAUCUGUGGUCAUCCCUUGCUGGGGAGUCUCAUUCAAAGUUUUCCUUCUCUCUCCAGCAGCAUUUUUUUAACCAUUCCUUUGUACUACAAGGCAAUUGAUCAUGGGGAGAACCUCAGUGUGUGAUGUUCAGGUAAAGCGACUCAUUGCGUAGGUAAGUGAAGUUCAUUGCCAUGGGGUGAAUGUAGAGCUGAUGUGGGAGGAAAGCUUGGGCUCCCUUCUUGCACAGGCAAAGCAACAAACCUUUCAUUGCUUUCUUGCUUCACUGCUCCUCAGCCACCUCUAGGCUCCUCUCCCCUGCUGCUCUACAUGAUGGUCUUAAGCUUGCUGAGAAAGCCAUGCAUCAGCACUACUCCUCACUGUUCAACAAUGGUUACCCUUUUCUUGGUUCUGCUGUAGGACCUGUCAGAAAACACAGAUUGCUGAAAGCCAUAGAGCCUUUCUGGAGACUGAGCUGCACUAAGGACAUUUGUGCAUCUGUAGCUUUAAGGUCUUUUUCUA